rnacentral:rRNA from 1 species
GACGUAGGGCGCGAGCGUUGUCCGGAUUUAUUGGGCGUAAAGAGCUCGUAGGCGGUUUGUCGCGUCGUCUGUGAAAACCCACGGCUCAACUGUGGGCUUGCAGUCGAUACGGGCAGGCUAGAGUUCGGUAGGGGAGACUGGAAUUCCUGGUGUAGCGGUGAAAUGCGCAGAUAUCAGGAGGAACACCGGUGGCGAAGGCGGGUCUCUGGGCCGAUACUGACGCUGAGGAGCGAAAGCGUGGGGGAGCGAACAGG